CAUUCUUUCCAACCCAAAUGCACGCAUGUGAGCAGCAGCUCAGGGAGAUCAGGGGCAGCCCACAAGUUCACUGCUGUGCUCCGUGCAGUGCUGCAUGGUGACAAAGCCUGCGGUUAAGUUUAUGGCAUCUUUUGACACUUGUUAUCUAAUGAAAAGGCUAUUAUCCCCCUAAGGGGGAAAUCACCAUGUGCUUUUCUUUAAAUUCAAUCCAAACAUAUACUUUUUAAAUAGAAACACUCUGGUGUUUCAUGUCGGGGCCCUUUAGCACAAGCAGCUGUCCAGGCAAACUAUACACAAGAAGCUUAAUUUGAGCUGUCAUUUCCCUGCAGUAAAUCCUUUCCUUUGUCUCUAGGAGCGGAGUGAUACAAAUCAGGAUAUGUAAAUUCGAGCAAUGGAUCUUAAUUAUGAGCAGCAGGUGUCUGUGCAAGAGUGCUCAGUAGAAAUCUUGGAGACAUGUCUGCAAACUUAAGAUUUUAACCUCCUAUCCAUUUGCAAAUCUUUGGAAGCCAGGAUUAUUUCUGAAUAAGGACUGAAGCACCUCCAGUUGUAUAGAGGAAAUGUUAUCACGCAGCAGCGGACAAAACAGGCACGGUGCUUUACAACAGGAUGCGUGAAGGAAGGCUCUGAGGUGGGGAGCGCCACCUGCUGCGGGCAAUGCACCGAGCGACCCUUCAACAACUGUUACAUCGGCAUCAUAACUGCAUUGAUGGGAAAUGAGUUACCAAAGUUGUGGUAUUUUGUAUCCUACGCCUUCCAUCAGUCAUUACAGAAGGUAAAAAGCAGCUGAUCGCCACUGUCAGUCAGAAGAACAUCUUAACUGAUACCACCUGAAGAUAUUUUCUGUUUAAAAAGAUAAAUGGCAAAAGCUGAUCUACUAAAAUGAUCUGUUUGGGAGUUGGGAACUCUUCACCAGCAUGUGGCCUUGCAGACCAAUUAGACCAAUGACUGCCAGAGCUCUGUGGGCACUAAUGGCCUUAAGCAGCCCCACCUGUGGCCA
rnacentral:lncRNA from 1 species